rnacentral:rRNA from 1 species
CCUACGGGAGACUGCAGUAGGGAAUUUUGCGCAUUGGGCGAAAGCCUGACGCAGCAACGCCGCGUGAACGAGACGCCCUUCGGGGUGUAAAGUUCUGUCAGUGGGGACGAAAGAUGACGGUACCUGACUAAGAAGCCCCGGCUAAAUACGUGCCAGCAGCCGCGGUAAUACGUAUGGGGCAAGCGUUAUCCGGAUUUACUGGGUGUAAAGGGAGCGUAGGCGGCCUGGCAAGCCUGAUGUGAAAUACCGGGGCCCAACCCCGGGGCUGCAUUGGGAACUGCCAGGCUGGAGUGCCGGAGAGGCAGGCGGAAUUCCUAGUGUAGCGGUGAAAUGCGUAGAUAUUAGGAGGAACACCAGUGGCGAAGGCGGCCUGCUGGACGGUGACUGACGCUGAGGCUCGAAAGCGUGGGGAGCAAACAGGAUUAGAUACCCUUGUAGUC